rnacentral:rRNA from 1 species
AUUGAACGCUGGCGGUAUGCUUAACACAUGCAAGUCGAACGGUAGCAGGCCUUCGGGCGCUGACGAGUGGCGGACGGGUGAGUAACGCGUAGGAAUCUGCCUCAUAGUGGGGGACAACGUGGGGAAACUCACGCUAAUACCGCAUACGCCCUACGGGGAAAGCGGGGAUCUUCGGACCUCGCGCUAUGAGAUGAGCCUGCGUUAGAUUAGCUAGUUGGUAGGGUAAAGGCCUACCAAGGCGACGAUCUAUAGCUGGUCUGAGAGGACGAUCAGCCACACUGGGACUGAGACACGGCCCAGACUCCUACGGGAGGCAGCAGUGGGGAAUAUUGGACAAUGGGCGCAAGCCUGAUCCAGCAAUACCGCGUGUGUGAAGAAGGCCUUAGGGUUGUAAAGCACUUUCAAUUGGGAGGAAAAACCUGUCGGUCAAUACCCGGCAGCUUGACAUUACCUUUAGAAGAAGCACCGGCUAACUCCGUGCCAGCAGCCGCGUAAU